rnacentral:lncRNA from 10 species
AGGAGUUCCAGCCAGCACUUCUGAAAUCUAGAAAAACAGAGAACGGAUAAUUUUGUAGGCAGCUGCCAGCCCCUACUUCAGAGGCAAAUCCAUUGUCUGGAUUGUGCAGGCUGAAUGGCUCGGCACAGCGUGGGAGCCACAAGGAGGAAGCAGAAGUGAGAAACCAGGCUCUCCCUCGCCCUCGCCCUCGCCCUCUCCCUCUCCCUCUCCCUCGCCCUCUCCCUCUCCCUCCUCGCCCUCUCCCUCUCCCUCUCCCCACGGUCUCCCUCUCCCUCUCUUUCCAUGGUCUCCCUCUGAUGCCGAGCCGAAGCUGGACUGUACUGCUGCCAUCUCGGCUCACUGCAACCUCCCUGCCU